ensembl:lncRNA
AACUCAUCCAAAAACAUUAUUUUAUUGUUUCGUGAACAAAAGAAGUGUUAAACAAAGCAGAAUAUGUUUUAUUAUGUUUUGCAUUCUUCAAUUCUUAGAUUAGACAGCUUUGCUCAUCUUCAGCUUUAUGAGGUAGAGUCACAUGAAAUUCAGGCUAAUUUCAGUUAACAGCUGUGCUGAACUCAUCAAGAGUUAAUUACUUGAAUUUCUUGUCUCUUAAUAAAGUGUUUGAGAGCAUCAGUUAAAGUAAAGUAGUGAAGAGGUAGAGUUACAGGUAUACAGUGAAUGAGUAAUGUUCUAAUCCAGAUUAUGAGAAGAAAUACUGAAUUAAGUAAAAAAAAGACCGUCAAAAACAGUGAAAUCGAUGGAACUGGCACUCACCAGGACCGCCCCAGGAAAGGAAGAGCAAGAGUUUCUUCUGUUGUACAGGAUAAGUUCUUCAGAGUUAACAGCUGCCCAGAUAAGAUCACCUAAAAGCUUUUUCACAAAGUAUUUUGUUUUGUUUAACAUUGUUAAUUUACUACAUGAUUAUGUGUUCCUUCAUAGUAUUGAUCACAUUACUAUUCAUUUACUAUGUAGGAAAAGUCAAAACUUUGGUUUAAUGUGUGUUUUUUUAUUGUUUAUUGUGUAUCAUUUCUCCACAGAUCGAAAUCCCAGAUAUCCAAUAUCACGAGCAGUGGAGAAAGCUGUAAUCAGUCAACCUGAGCUGACCAAACCUCACAAUCUGCUGAGUAAUGGCCUCAAAUUGCCUCCAGACUACAGCCUCUACCGUCAGCAGGUGCAGUAUUUCACCUCCACACUGGUUUUACUCAAACACGGGACUAUACGUGUGUUUUAGAGUGAGAAACAACUGGAAAUGUGGAAAUAUCUGUUUUUUUUGUUUGUUUUUAGACGUUUGCAGAGCGGGACGUCCCACUGCCUUUCCAGCCCGCCCCUGUGAGAACAGCCACCACCGUCUAACACCAUGAGGAACACUGUUCCCUGCACUGAAGAUGCUCUAAAAAUGAGGGAAAAAACAGCUUUCAGCUUUGAGAAGAUCUACCUCACUUCCUUCAUUUGGCUGAAACAUUCAUCAGCCAAAAAUCAGAACAAUAUGUUGUGAUGAAUCUUUUUUUUUUCUCACUAUAUGAAGCACUGAGUUAUAAGGCGCACUAUCAAUGAACGUCUAUUUUCUGGUCUAUAUAUAUACAUAUAUAUAUAAGGCGCACCGGAUUAUGUAUAAGGCACAUUAUGUGACACUAGUAAGAACAGGGGUGUCGCUGUUGGGUGGCGAGACCUAUAAAGCUAAGCUCAGUAAACAAAACUGUAAUAUAUAUAAAACAUUUUCUUUUGAAGUUAAACGAAUCUGGAUUUUAAUCUACACAGAUUUCUCUCCUGAAAAACAAGCUAAGAUUCCCAAGUUUUCCCAGCACCAAGGCUGAAGCAUUAGCGUUAGAUGUUAACCAUUUGCAGGAAAUGCUAAUGCUGCUCCAGCACUGCUAGCCUGGGUCAGCAGGAGGCUACAGUCCGAUAUCCUCACCUCUGAACGGCGAAAGGGCUUAACGGCACUUAGCAUGGUUAGCGGCUCUAAUGCUAAUGCUGCUUCAGCAGUGCUAUCCAGGGUUAGCAGCAGGCUACAGGCUGAUAAUACUCACCUCUGAAUGGGGAAAUAGCUAGCCCUCAGUGUGGUUAGCAGCUAAUGCUAAUACUGCUGGAGAACUAAACUGAAACUCCUGUAUAACUCUGUACUUCAGCAGAGUGACUUUACUGCUCCUUAAUACCUGACUGGUAGAAUUCAUACAUAAGGAGCACCAGAUUAUAAGGUGCAAUGAUGAUUUUUGGGAAAAUUAAAGGAUUUUAAGUGCGAAAAAUAUGUGUAACUCUGGUAAGAGCUCUUACAGUGGUGCUUGAAAGCUUUAUGACCUAAAACAUCAUCAGAUUUAAGUCCUAAAAGUAGAUAAAAAAGAACACAGUUAAACAAAUAAGACAAAACAUAUUAUACUUAUUUAUUUAUUUAUUUAUUUAUAGAGGGAAAUGAUCAAAUAUUAAAUUUUUGUAAGCGAUAAAAGUAGUACUUCAGGUUUAGCAGUUAGUUGGAAGGUCCAAUCCACAGUUAGACAGAUUACAGUGUACAAAUCAACAAAAUCCAAGACCAGAGAUCACUCCAUGAACAAGGCGUGGAAUAGUCGGCGAGGUUUCGAAGGACCCCAGGGUAACUUCUAAGCAAGUUCACAAUCAGGAGAAUUUGAUGAAUAUAAAAAGUGCUGUUUGGAAAAAGGAAAAUGCUGUAUGUAUCUUUGAAACAUGGUGGUGGUAGUAUCAUGGUUUGGGCCUGUUUUGCUUUAUCUAGGCUUGCCAUCAUUGAUGGAACCAUGAAUUUGGAAUUUUAAGGAAAAAUAUAAGCAUUUCUGUCCAUGAACUGAAUCUUAGAAGAAAGGUGGGUCAUGCAGCAGGACAAUGACCCAAAGCACACAAGUCGUUCUACAGAAAAGUGGUUAAAGAAGAAUGAAGAAUUUAAUGUUUUAGAAUGGCCGAGUCACUGUCCUGAUCUUAAUCCAUUUAGAUUAGUUAAACUGGGUUCUCCUUUUUUUGUUUUACUUGUAGGACUAAAAAUCUGCUAACAACAAACUAUCGAGCACCGCUGUACCUGUGAAUCAAGUUACACAGCUAGAAAAAUGAAGAGUGUGGAGCUUUCGUCUGUGGAAGUAAAAGUGGUCUAAAUCUGAUUUAAUUGGAAACACUUUUAAUAUAAUUACAUUUAAUAUAAUUUUAAUAAAAUUAUAAACAUCGUCCA